CCAGGAAUGUGACCCCUCUUGUCAAAUUACUCUUCAUUUCCUGCCUGGGCAUCAAUGGUCUUGAGGUGAACAUCUGAGACCCUAUAGAAAUUCACACAUACAAAAAAUUUUUU